CAGCACCACUUCUUACUCCUUCAGCAAGUCCUCCACUCCAGAAGGGAGCUGCUAGCCCUGCAGUUCCCACUGAACCGCAAACUUCACCAGCUCCAGUAGUUCCCCCUAAAGAAUAUAAUGCACCUCCUCCAGUCGAGUCAGCGCCUCCAGUUGAGACCGCACCUCCCGCGGUCACUGACGACGUGCCCCCGCCAGCAGCUCCUCCGCAAGCUGCCGAAAAACCCACUGAACCGCAUACUGCUCCGGCUCCGGUUGUUCCUCCUAAAGAAGAUAAUGCGCCUCCUCCAGUUGAGUCUACGCCUCCACCAGUUGAGACCGCACCUCCCGCGAUCACUGACAACGUACCCCCACCAGCAGCU